ACUAGAUGAUGUUAAUUUAUAUUUGCUACUUCGGACGAGGCCUAUCUAGCUUCGAAUGAGACAUAUUUUAAUCACCAAGAUCUCUGAUACU
rnacentral:snoRNA from 1 species